UAGGGAUCUCGCAAUGGACGAAAGUCUGACGGAGCAACGCGCGUGAGUGAUGAAGGUUUUCGGAUCGUAAAGCUCUGUUGUUAGGGAAGAACAAGUGCCGUUCGAAUAGGGCGGCACUUUGACGGUACUAACCAGAAAGCCACGGCUAACUACGUGCCAGCAGCCGCGGUAAUACGUAGGUGGCAAGCGUUGUCCGGAAUUAUUGGGCGUAAAGGGCUCGCAGGCGGUUUCUUAAGUCUGAUGUGAAAGCCCCCGGCUCAACCGGGGAGGGUCAUUGGAAACUGGGGAACUUGAGUGCAGAAGAGGAGAGUGGAAUUCCACGUGUAGCGGUGAAAUGCGUAGAGAUGUGGAGGAACACCAGUGGCGAAGGCGACUCUCUGGUCUGUAACUGACGCUGAGGAGCGAAAGCGUGGGGAGCGAACAGGAUUAGAUACCCUGGUAGUCCACGCCGUAAACGAUGAGUGCUAAGUGUUAGGGGGUUUCCGCCCCUUAGUGCUGCAGCUAACGCAUUAAGCACUCCGCCUGGGGAGUACGGUCGCAAGACUGAAACUCAAAGGAAUUGACGGGGGCCCGCACAAGCGGUGGAGCAUGUGGUUUAAUUCGAAGCAACGCGAAGAACCUUACCAGGUCUUGACAUCCUCUGACAAUCCUAGAGAUAGGACGUCCCCUUCGGGGGCAGAGUGACAGGUGGUGCAUGGUUGUCGUCAGCUCGUGUCGUGAGAUGUUGGGUUAAGUCCCGCAACGAGCGCAACCCUUGAUCUUAGUUGCCAGCAUUCAGUUGGGCACUCUAAGGUGACUGCCGGUGACAAACCGGAGGAAGGUGGGGAUGACGUCAAAUCAUCAUGCCCCUUAUGACCUGGGCUACACACGUGCUACAAUGGACAGAACAAAGGGCAGCGAAACCGCGAGGUUAAGCCAAUCCCACAAAUCUGUUCUCAGUUCGGAUCGCAGUCUGCAACUCGACUGCGUGAAGCUGGAAUCGCUAGUAAUCGCGGAUCAGCAUGCCGCGGUGAAUA
rnacentral:rRNA from 1 species